AUUUUGAAACGCCGGUUCCCAUAAAAUCACCGAAGUUAAUCAACGACAAGCCUGGUCAGUGCUUAGAUGGGUUAUCACUUGGGAAUACCAGGGUCUGU